CCUACGGGCGGCUGCAGUGGGGAAUAUUGCACAAUGGGCGCAAGCCUGAUGCAGCCAUGCCGCGUGUGUGAAGAAGGCCUUCGGGUUGUAAAGCACUUUCAGCGGGGAGGAAGGCGUUAAGGUUAAUAACCUUGUCGAUUGACGUUACCCGCAGAAGAAGCACCGGCUAACUCCGUGCCAGCAGCCGCGGGAAUACGGAGGGUGCAAGCGUUAAUCGGAAUUACUGGGCGUAAAGCGCACGCAGGCGGUCUGUCAAGUCGGAUGUGAAAUCCCCGGGCUCAACCUGGGAACUGCAUUCGAAACUGGCAGGCUAGAGUCUUGUAGAGGGGGGUAGAAUUCCAGGUGUAGCGGUGAAAUGCGUAGAGAUCUGGAGGAAUACCGGUGGCGAAGGCGGCCCCCUGGACAAAGACUGACGCUCAGGUGCGAAAGCGUGGGGAGCAAACAGGAUUAGAUACCCGAGUAGUC
rnacentral:rRNA from 1 species